rnacentral:rRNA from 1 species
AUCCAGACUCCUACGGGAGGCAGCAGUGAGGAAUAUUGGUCAAUGGGCGGGAGCCUGAACCAGCCAAGCCGCGUGAAGGAAGAAGGCGCCAGGCGUCGUAAACUUCUUUUGUCGGGGAACAAAGGGCGCCACGCGUGGCGUUGUGAGUGUACCCGAAGAAAAAGCAUCGGCUAACUACGUGCCAGCAGCCGCGGUAAUACGUAGGUGGCAAGCGUUGUCCGGAUUUACUGGGUGUAAAGGGCGUGUAGCCGGGCUUACAAGUCAGAUGUGAAAUCCGGGGGCUCAACCCCCGAACUGCAUUUGAAACUGUAGGUCUUGAGUAUCGGAGAGGCAGGCGGAAUUCCUAGUGUAGCGGUGAAAUGCGUAGAUAUUAGGAGGAACACCAGUGGCGAAGGCGGCCUGCUGGACGACAACUGACGGUGAGGCGCGAAAGCGUGGGGAGCAAACAGGAUUAGAUACCCUCGUA